rnacentral:rRNA from 1 species
UGGUAGUGUAUUGGACAACCAUGGCUUUCACGGGUAACGGAGGAUUAGGGUUCGAUUCCGGAGAGGGAGCCUGAGAAACGGCUACCACAUCUACGGAAGGCAGCAGGCGCGUAAAUUACCCAAUCCUGACUCAGGGAGGUAGUGACAAGAAAUAACGGACCGAGGCUUUAUGUUUCGGGAUUGCAAUGGGUACAAUUUAAACCCCUUAACGAGGAUCAAUUGGAGGGCAAGUCUGGUGCCAGCAGCCGCGGUAAUUCCAGCUCCAAUAGCGUAUAUUAAAGUUGUUGCAGUUAAAAAGCUCGUAGUUGGACCUCUGGGAGGGUGCCAAUGUCCGCUGUUGCGAGUGCAGCGGCGCCCUUCCAUCCUUCUGUUAACGUUUCUUGGUAUUCAGUUACUGGUUUCGGGCUCAGAUAUUUUACCUUGAGAAAAUUAGAGUGUUUCAGGCAGGCUUGCGCCGGAAUACAUUAGCAUAGAAUAAUAGAAUAGGACUUUAGUCUCUUUUGUUGGUUCAGGGACUGAAGUAAUGAUUAAUAGGGAUAGUUGGGGGCAUUAGUAUUUAAUUGUCAGAGGUAAAAUUCUCAGAUUUGUUAAAGACUAACUUAUGCGAAAGCAUUUGCCAAGGAUGUUUUCAUUAAUUAAGAACGAAAGUUAGGGGAUCAAAGACGAUCAGA